UAACCGGCUCUUCUCAGAACCACUCAAGUAUACUUAUAAGUUUAUU
rfam:Gorilla gorilla gorilla genomic chromosome, chr5, whole genome shotgun sequence